rnacentral:tRNA from 1 species
GGGGUUGUAGCUCAGUGGUAGAGUGCUCACCUACCGUAUGUGAGGCACUGGGUUCGAUCCUCAGCACCACA